AUUGAACGCUGGCGGCAUGCUUUACACAUGCAAGUCGAACGGCAGCAUGGGUGCUUGCACCUGAUGGCGAGUGGCGAACGGGUGAGUAAUACAUCGGAACGUACCAAGUAAUGGGGGAUAACUACUCGAAAGAGUGGCUAAUACCGCAUACGCCCGAAGGGGGAAAGCAGGGGAGCUUCGGCCCGUGCGUUAUUUGAGCGGCCGAUGUCUACAUAGCUAGUUGGUGGGGUAAGAGCCUACCAAGGCGACGAUCAGUAGCGGGUCUGAGAGGCUGAUCCGCCACACUGGGACUGAGACACGGCCCAGACUCCUACGGGAGGCAGCAGUGGGGAAUUUUGGACAAUGGGCGAAAGCCUGAUCCAGCCAUGCCGCGUGUAUGAAGAAGGCCUUCGGGUUGUAAAGUACUUUUGUUAGGGAAGAAAAGCUUGUUGCUAAUAUCAGCAAGUCAUGACGGUACCUAAAGAAUAAGCACCGGCUAACUACGUGCCAGCCGCCGCAGUAAUAC
rnacentral:rRNA from 1 species